rnacentral:rRNA from 1 species
UACGUAGGGUGCGAGCGUUGUCCGGAAUUAUUGGGCGUAAAGCGCACGUAGGCGGAUUUUUAAGUCAGGGGUGAAAUCCCGAGGCUCAACCUCGGAACUGCCUUUGAUACUGGAGAUCUUGAGUCCGGAAGAGGUAAGUGGAACUGCGAGUGUAGAGGUGAAAUUCGUAGAUAUUCGCAAGAACACCAGUGGCGAAGGCGGCUCACUGGCCCGGUACUGACGCUGAGGUGCGAAAGCGUGGGGAGCAAACAGGG